CUGCUUCAAUUACUGUCUCUCAUUUCUUAGUUUCACCCUACUUUAAGCUCCAUUCCUUUUACUCCAUAAAAUUUUCCCAUCCCCAACACGUCAAUUCUACAACAUGAGUGAUGAGAGUCAUACCCAGAUACAGAGGAGACUCUGUGACUACUGUAACCAGUCCACAGCUCUGUUAUAUUGCAGAGCUGAUUCCGCCAAGCUCUGUUUUUCAUGCGAUAGGGAAGUUCACUCAGCUAACCAACUGUUUACUAAGCACUCUCGGUCACAGUUGUGUGACGCCUGUGACGAAUCACCUGCUUCCCUCUUUUGCGAAACGGAGCAGUCUGUGUUUUGCUCGAAUUGUGAUUGGGAACGCCACAGGUGUUCGUUGCAUAAUAGGAGGCCUGUAGAAGUCUUCACCGGGUGCCCUUCGGUGAGUGAGUUGCUGAGUUUUCUUGGGAUCGAGGAUUUGGGUAACGAUAAAGCUUCCUGUUGGAGUGAAGAUGAUGGGUUUCUUGAUUUUUUGACUUGGGAAUGUCCUUUGAUUUCUGGGUUUGAUGGAGUGAUUGUUCCGAAUGAUAUGGAUCAUGGGUUUAAGGCUACGGAUGUUCCUCCUCUACCUAAGAAUCGUAAUUCAUCUUGUGGACAACAUAAAGAGGAGAUAUUCCAUCAGCUGCAUGAACUGGCAAAAUCAGAUCCCACCCUCACCUUUCAAAAAAUUGAUUUGCAGUCGCUGAUACCUGAGACUGAUCAUUUUCAGCCAGCAAGUAUGCAACCAAGUUGCAAUAAUGAUGCAGAUCCUGUUUCAUGCCCUGCUUUAGAGCAAGUUCUCUUGGCAGUCAAAGCACAUAAGCUUCAACGCUUCUUAGACGAGAAUCAAGAUCCUCCCACUCAGUUUCUUUCAGAUGACAGCGGUGGUUGUUGUGAGAAUCCGGAGUUUGCACAUUUUGAGCAACAGGACAGUGCGUUUGCGUUAUGGCUGUUAUCUUCUAUCAGUUCAUCUGUUCUGCCUCACCUUAUUGGCAUAGAUACAAGUGCGAAGAUCUGGAAAGCGGUUGUCACUUUGUAUGGGAGUAAAACCACUUCCAAGUUGAUAUUUUAUCGGCGGACUUUGCACUCCCAGCGCAAGGGUGAGUUGAGCAUGAAAGACUUUUUGGUCAAGAUGAAAGGCUGUUGCGAUCAUCUUGCCAGCUGUGGUGAGAUCAUCAGUGAGCACGAGCAUAUCACUGCGACACUGCGAUUCUAAAUGGUCUUUCUCCAGACUAUGAAUCUGUUAUUACAAUUGUUACAUCAAGUCAGGUGCCCUACACAGUUCAAGGAGUAAUAUCCAUGCUUCUUGAUGCUGAAGCGCGACAACAGCUUGCGAGUACUGAAAUAUCUAGUUCUGUUAACGUGGUGUCUCAUCAAUCAUCUGACUCCACAGUUUCUAAUGAUCCCAUCCCUUCUUAUCAACCGUCGUCUAUAAGUCGGGGGUGUGGGCGAGGUCGUUCUUCUCACUCAAAGAUUCAAUGUCAGUUGUGUGGGAAGGUUGGUCAUCUUGUUAAUCGCUGUUACUAUUGAUUUGACUCUUCCUACAAAAGUAACAACUACAGGCCACCCACAAGCAAAUAUUUGCAUGGUUGGGUCCGGUUCUUCUGCUACACCCUGGUUCCCUCCUUCUCAACCUCAAUGGAGUUCACCAGGUUGGUGUUUUCCCACUCUUCCGUCAUCUACUUGGACUAAUCCGUUUGUUGGUAGUCCUCCACAACAGGUCCCUAUGCCUUCCUCUAGCACAGCUUCAGCACCGUCUCAGGCAUAUGUAACGACUCCUGAAACUGUAGCCGAUAAUUCAUGGUAUCCGGAUUCAGGUGCCAUGCAUCAUUUGACAAAUUCAGCCAGCUCCAUUGGUGAUACUGGAUCCUUCAAAGGACCAGUGCCGGUGCGUGAUUUGAAGACAAUGGAGAUUUUACUUUGAGGCUCCGUUCAUCAUGGGUUAUACAGACUUCAUAUCAAUCAGUCUACUGGAACUCAUGUGCCUUCUAAGCCUGCUCAGUGUUUUUCGACUAGUGUCAGACUUCCUCUUAGUGUUUGGCACUAUCGAUUAGGACACCCCUGUCGUGCUAAUCUUACAAAAGCACUUAUACGAUGUAAUAUACCAUAUACUGAUAUCAAUAAAUUUGUUGAUUGUGUUGCA